UACGAAGGGGGGCUAGCGUUGCUCGGAAUCACUGGGCGUAAAGCGCACGUAGGCGGAUUGCUAAGUCAGGGGUGAAAUCCUGGAGCUCAACUCCAGAACUGCCUUUGAUACUGGCAACCUUGAGUCCGGGAGAGGUGAGUGGAACUGCGAGUGUAGAGGUGAAAAUUCGUAGAUAUUCGCAAGAACACCAGUGGCGAAGGCGGCUCACUGGCCCGGUACUGACGCUGAGGUGCGAAAGCGUGGGGAGCAAACAGG
rnacentral:rRNA from 1 species